GACGAACGCUGGCGGCGUGCUUGACACAUGCAAGUCGAACGGUAAGGCCCUUCGGGGUACACGAGUGGCGAACGGGUGAGUAACACGUGGGUGAUCUGCCCUGCACUUCGGGAUAAGCCUGGGAAGCUGGGUCUAAUACCGGAUAGGACUCCGGACUGCAUGGUCUGGGGUGGAAAGCUUUUGCGGUGUGGGAUGGGCCCGCGGCCUAUCAGCUUGUUGGUGGGGUGAUGGCCUACCAAGGCGACGACGGGUAGCCGGCCUGAGAGGGUGACCGGCCACACGGGGACUGAGAUACGGCCCAGACUCCUACGGGAGGCAGCAGUGGGGAAUAUUGCACAAUGGGCGCAAGCCUGAUGCAGCGACGCCGCGUGAGGGAUGACGGCCUUCGGGUUGUAAACCUCUUUCAGCAUCGACGAAGCGAAAGUGACGGUAGGUGCAGAAGAAGGACCGGCCAACUACGUGCCAGCAGCCGCCGUAA
rnacentral:rRNA from 1 species